UACGGGGGGGGCAAGCGUUGUUCGGAAUUACUGGGCGUAAAGGGCUCGUAGGCGGCCAACUAAGUCAGACGUGAAAUCCCUCGGCUUAACCGGGGAACUGCGUCUGAUACUGGAUGGCUUGAGGUUGGGAGAGGGAUGCGGAAUUCCAGGUGUAGCGGUGAAAUGCGCAGAAUAUCAGGAGGAACACCGGUGGCGAAGGCGGGUCUCUGGGCAACAACGUG
rnacentral:rRNA from 1 species